rnacentral:rRNA from 1 species
UGGAUGCAUGGGCGAAAGCCUGAUCCGCCUGCCGCGUGUGUGAAGAAGGUCUUCGGAUUGUAAAGCACUUUAAGUUGGGAGGAAGGGCAGUAAGUUAAUACCUUGCUGUUUUGACGUUACCAACAGAAUAAGCACCGGCUAACUUCGUGCCAGCAGCCGCGGUAAUACGAAGGGUGCAAGCGUUAAUCGGAAUUACUGGGCGUAAAGCGCGCGUAGGUGGUUCAGCAAGUUGGAUGUGAAAUCCCCGGGCUCAACCUGGGAACUGCAUCCAAAACUACUGAGCUAGAGUACGGUAGAGGGUGGUGGAAUUUCCUGUGUCCGGUGAAAUGCGUAGAUAUAGGAAGGAACACCAGUGGCGAAGGCGACCACCUGGACUGAUACUGACACUGAGGUGCGAAAGCGUGGGGAGCAAACAGGAUUACAUACCCUGGUAGUCCACGCCGUAAACCAUGUCAACUAGCCUUUGGGAUCCUUGAGAUCUUAUUGGCGCAGCUAACGCGAUAAUUCAACAGCCUGGGGAGUACUGCCCCAAGGUU